GUACUAAGCCAUGCAAGUCUUGGGGCGGUAAAUGUUCCGCACCGGCAUACGGCUCAGUAACACGUUGUGAAUCUACCCCGUGGACACCAAUAACUCCGGGAAACUGAAGGUAAUGGGCGGUAUUCGAGGCCGGCUGGAACGCGGCCUCGUUGAAAGGCACCCGACUAGAUGGUGUGCCGCCACGGGAUGACACUGCGGCCGAUUACGCUUGAUGGUGGGGUAACGGCCCACCAUGGCUCUGAUCGGUACCGGCCAUGAGAGUGGGAGCCGGGAGAAUUGGACUGAGACACGGCCAAUAGCCAUACGUGGCGCAGCAGGCGAGAAACCUCCGCAAUGCGCGAAAGCGUGACGGGGCUAGUCGAAGUGCCCAUCUUGAAAGGGUGGGCUGUGGCAAGAAGUAGGAGAUCUUGCAAGAAAGGUGAGGGCAAGGCUGGUGCCAGCCGCCGCGGUAAAACCAGCUCAUCAAGUAGUCAUGACCAUUACUGAGCCUAAAGCACCCGUAGCCGGGCUCGUAAGUCCCCGGUUAAAUCCAGAGGCUCAACCUCUGGGCUGCUGGGGAUACCGCGAGCCUUGGGAGCGGAGAGAGGCAGGGGGUACGAUAGGGGUAACGGUGAAAUGUGAUAAUCCUUAUCGGACCACCGGUGGCGAAGGCGCCCUGCCAGAACGCGUCCGACGGUGAUGGAUGAAAGCCCGGGGAGCAAAAAGGAUUAGAUACCCUUGUAGUCCGGGCUGUAAACGAUGCAGGCUAAGUGUGGCAGCUGCCAAGAGCUACUGCCGUGCUGAAGCGAAGGCGUUAAGCCUGCCGCUUGGGGAGUACGGUCGCAAGACUGAAACUUAAAGGAAUUGACGGGGGAAUACCACAAGGGGUGAAGCCUGCGGUUUAAUUGGACCCAACGCCAGGAACCUUACCGGGGGCGCCAGCUGUAUGAUGGACAGGCUGACGACCUUUCCUGACUGGCUAAGAGGUAGUGCAUGGCCGUCGCCAGUUCGUGCCGUGAGGUGUCCUGUUAAGUCAAGCAACGAACGAAACCCGUGCUGCUAAUUGCUACCGAAUGCGUUGUGACGCACCGGGCUCAUUAGCGGGACCGACACUGCUAAAGUGUAGGAAGGUGCGGGCCACGGCAGGUCAGUAUGCUCCGAAUCCACCCGGGCCACACGCGGGCUGCAACGGCGGGGACAAUGCGUCGCCACUCCGAAAGGAGGCGCUAAUCGUCAAACCCCGUCUCAGUUGGGAUUGCGGGCUGCAACUCGCCCGCAUGAACUUGGAAUCCCUAGUAUCCG
rnacentral:rRNA from 1 species